GUAGUCUCGCACAGAUGCAUAUCAAUAAGCGGAGGAAAAGAAACUAACAAGGAUUCCCCUAGUAACGGCGAGUGAAGCGGGAAGAGCUCAAAUUUGAAAUCUUAAAGGGUUUCCCUUUACGAAUUGUAGUUUAAAGAAGUGUUUUCUGUUGAGGUUUUGGUAAAAGUUCUUUGGAAUAGGACAUCAUAGAGGGUGAGAAUCCCGUAUUUGACCUUUACCUUUCAACUUUGUGAUACACUUUCAAAGAGUCGGAUUGUUUGGGAAUGCAGUCCAAAAUGGGUGGUAAAUUUCAUCUAAAGCUAAAUAUUGGCGAGAGACCGAUAGCUGAACAAGUACCGUGAGGGAAAGAUGAAAAGAACUUUGAAAAGAGAGUUAAACAGUACGUGAAAUUGUCAAAAGGGAAGCGUUUGACACCAGUGUUGUUUUUCUGAAAAUCAAUUAAAGAGCUGUUUAUGCUAAGUUGUUUAGACUUUAUCAGCUAACUGUUUAGUUUUGAGCUUUUCUUUAAUGCACUUUUCAGUUAACAAGUCAACAUCAAUUUCUUUUGCUGUAAAAAAGCUUGAGGAAGGUGGCUUGAGAUUCGUCUUAAGUGUUUAUAGCCUCUUGCCUAUGCAGUCGGAGAGAUUGAGGUCUGCAGCGUAGAUCCUUCGGGGCUAAAUGCAUUUGUGCUAAGUUAUAAGCAUUUUAUAGACAACUUGUUGACUAUGAUUUGUCUUGUAGCUUACUCGCUUAUGUUAUUUUACCUACGCUUAGGAUGUUGAUCUGUAGUGCGUGCGC
rnacentral:rRNA from 1 species